UUUUCAGGAGUUACAGAAGCCAAUAUAGCCUUCUUCCUGAAAAAAUUUCUUAUUGUUGGAAUCUGUUUGUGGGCAUAAUUUGUUACUGUCCUUUGAACCCUGCCAGAUUCAGGAGUUUGGGGAGAGCUGUGGCUGUUCCCUUUCGACUCCUGCUCUCCGGUAAUGGGGGAGCCCUUGGAGCUUGCUGCUCUUCCCAGUAUCGCUCCUGCAAGCGCCCUGGGAGCGCGGGGCGCCGCUGCGAGAGGCGGCUUUAGGUCGCUGACAGCGGCGGCCGAGGCCCCCGCUUUGUUGUGCGGCUGAGUGACACCGAGCUGGUGACGCUCCCCAGGCAUCUGCUCCUGUCCCUAACACGGCCGGGCCUUCUGUCACCCCCGCAGACAGCCUCUAACCCUGCCCGGGGUGGGGAGCGCCUGCACGGCGGCGGCAGCGCUUCGGGCCGGACCUUCCCGAGGCGAGCGGGGGCCGGGCCGGGCGCGGGGGGGCCGGGGCACCAAAAUAGGAGCUGUCGCUGCGGCCCCGCGGCUCCCUCCGGCAGCGGCUCUUCCAAAGACGGUCAGGGGCCGCCGCGGGCUGGGAGCCCCCGUAAGCGCCGUGCCGGGCGGGUCCGCAGCCGGGGGCGGCCGGGCUGCGCGGAGCGGCGCGGAGCGGACAAAGCGGCGGGAGCUGCGGGGCGCGGCGAUGGCCGCGGCCGGGCAGGAGGAGUACGCGUACCUCUACAAGGACUCCGCGCACCCCGCCGGCUUCCUGGCGGCGUUCCGGGCGUUUUACCUGGACGGGCUGUUCACCGACAUCAGCCUGCAGUGCGCCUCGGGGGUCAUCUUCCACUGCCACAGAGCUGCCCUGGCAGCCUGCAGCAGUUAUUUUAAAGCCAUGUUCACAGCCGAUAUGAAAGAAAAAUCCAAAAACCAGAUCAGCCUUCCCGGGCUCAGCCAUGCAGUACUGGAAGCUCUCGUGAAUUAUGCAUACACAUCACAGAUCCAGAUAACAAAGAGAAAUGUCCAAAGCCUACUCCAGGCUGCAGACCUGCUCCAGUUCGUGUCAGUAAAGAAAGCCUGUGAGCAGUUUCUGGUAAGGCACUUGGAUACUGACAACUGCAUUGGGAUGCACUCCUUUGCUGAAUAUCAUGAUUGCUCAGAGCUGGAGAAGGAGUCCAGAAGGAUAUUGUUAUGGCAGUUUGAAGAAGUGUGGAAGCAGGAAGAGUUUCUGGACAUUGGCAAGGAGAAGCUCUCUUAUAUCCUCUCCAGAGAAAAUCUCAAUGUGCAGAAAGAAGAGGCAGCCAUUGAAGCUGUCAUUAAGUGGGUGGCACACAACGUGGAAGGAAGAAUUGAAGACAUCUGCGAAGUGCUGAGCUGCAUCAAAUUAGACUUAGAUAAUGUGUAUUUGAGGUCAGCUUUAAGCCUGCAAAAAAAAUGCCGACUCAAUGACAGUAAGAUAAGGUCACUCAUAUAUAAUGCCCUGAACCUCAAUCCCAAAGGUCUUUCCAGAAGAUCCACAGCAGCCAUGUAUGUAAUUGGAGGAUAUUAUUGGCAUCCCUUAUCAGAAGUGCAUGUUUGGGAUCCUUUAACUGAUGCAUGGGUCCAGGGAACAGAGAUGCCAGAUCACACCAGAGAGAGCUAUGGGGUCACUAGUUUGGGGCCGGACAUAUAUGUGACAGGGGGUUACAGAACAGAGAGCAUUGAAGCUCUUGACACCGUGUGGAUAUAUAACAGCGAGAGAGAUGAGUGGACAGAAGGCUGCCCCAUGCUCGACGCAAGGUAUUACCACUGCGCCGUUUCCUUGAGUGGCUGCAUUUAUGCAUUGGGAGGGUACCGGAAGGGAGCUCCAGUCCAAGAAGCUGAGUUUUAUGAUCCUUUAAUACAGAGAUGGCUUCCCAUUGCAAACAUGAUCAAAGGAGUUGGAAAUGCCACUGCCUGUGUCCUGCAUGAAGUCAUCUAUGUCGCUGGAGGCCACUAUGGGUACAGGGGAAGCUGCACCUACGAUAAAAUCCAGAGAUACCAUUCAGGUAGCAAUGAGUGGAGUAUAGUCACCACAAGUCCACAUCCAGAAUAUGGAUUGUGUUCAAUUACGUUACAAAACAAGAUCUAUUUUGUGGGUGGCCAGACCACGAUCACUGACUGCUAUGACCCAGAGCAAAAUGAGUGGAAGCAGAUGGCUCACAUGAUGGAGAGAAGGAUGGAGUGUGGCACGGUGGUUAUGAACGGAUGCAUCUACGUAACAGGAGGAUAUUCCUAUUCAAAAGGAACAUACCUGCAGAGCAUUGAGAAAUACGACCCUGAACUGAACAAAUGGGAAGCAGUAGGUAAUCUUCCCAGUGCCAUGCGGUCACACGGCUGUGUCUGUGUGUACAAUGUGUAAGCAUUUCAUUUCCAUCUUGCUGUUACAGUAUUCAUAACAGUACUGAUUACCUCAUGAGGGGUUGUCUAAUACAAUCACUUAGUGCACAUUGUUAAUAACUAGAUGUAAUUUGUUCUUGUUUUAAACAACUCAGAAACAUAAAUGUGGUAACAAGAUUUCCAUAUAUUUUUCAGUCCAAUCAUACUUUGUCACGGAAGUUCUCAAAUUGCUCUUUUAUAAUACUUUAUACAGCAACAUAGGAUCUACUGUGAAAAAUGGAUUUGUUUUUGUUUCAUCACUGGAUGAAACUAUGACUUGGUGCUAAGAUGAGUAAAGCCAAACAAAAUACGAUUCUAAGGACUACUGGUCUUAAGAUGAAAUCUUUGUAUUCUGAAGGUAGCUGUAGAAAUGGACCACUGACACAAGUUAAGUGUAUGGUAUAUGCAGAGCAAUAUCACUGGGAUAACUAGGUUAUCAGAUUCAGAAAUGGGCAUUUACAGGAUGCCUCUAACUCUACCUUCAAAUGCCAGAGCAAAGAAGAGCUUAGGCUAGGAAUGAGGGAAGAAAUGUUGGUAGUAGCCCAGGCACAGGCCAAAAGCAUGCACUAGUUUUCCUGAAGGAGAAGUAAAAGAGCAUUUCUCUUUGCCAUUUUCACACUCCCUUCGACAUUGCCAAUGAGAAAUGAAAAAAGACUCUGCAAGGCUUUGCAAUGGGAUCUUUGGCUGAUGCACAGGUAUUUGUAGUUUGGGUGUUUUUGUGUGGGGAGGGCUGUUCAGAGAAAAGCCUUAAUGUGUUAACUCUUUUUUAAUAUCAACUCAAGAUGUGUGCCUGUGUGGAGUGGAAGGAGGAAAUGAGAGAGACUGGAGAACUAACAUCUGCUUGAGAUUCAAACUUUUCUAUUUUGUUUAAUACCAUUUGAUCUUUUCUAAACUGUGGCUUGAGCAAAGGUAACAACUAAAGGAACUUGUAUGUUAUGCAUGAAAAAUGUGAUCUAUAGGAUUGAUUUAUUUAUUAUUUCUCUCAAAACUUAAUAGGAGAGCUUCAAAUUUUGUGUAGAAAGUGGAUUUUUGUAACG